rnacentral:rRNA from 1 species
GUGGGGAAUAUUGGACAAUGGGCGAAAGCCUGAUCCAGCAACGCCGCGUGAGGGAUGACGGCCUUCGGGUUGUAAACCUCUUUCAGCGCAGACGAAGCGAAAGUGACGGUAUGCGCAGAAGAAGCACCGGCCAACUACGUGCCAGCAGCCGCGGUAAUACGUAGGGUGCGAGCGUUGUCCGGAAUUAUUGGGCGUAAAGGGCUCGUAGGCGGUCUGUCACGUCAGGAGUGAAAACUCGGGGCUCAACCCCGAGCCUGCUUCUGAUACGGGCAGACUGGAGGUAUGCAGGGGAGAACGGAAUUCCUGGUGUAGCGGUGAAAUGCGCAGAUAUCAGGAGGAACACCGGUGGCGAAGGCGGUUCUCUGGGCAUUACCUGACGCUGAGGAGCGAAAGUGUGGGGAGCGAACAGG